CGCGCAGGCGGUCGUAUAAGUCGAAUGUGAAAGCCCCUGGCUCAACUAGGGAGAGUCAUUCGAUACUGUUCGACUCGAAGGCAGGAGAGGGAAGUGGAAUUCCGGGUGUAGUGGUGAAAUGCGUAGAUAUCCGGAGGAACACCAGUGGCGAAGGCGACUUUCUGGCCUGUUCUUGACGCUGAGGCGCGAAAGCUAGGGAGCAAACG
rnacentral:rRNA from 1 species